rnacentral:rRNA from 1 species
UGGGGAAUAUUGCGCAAUGGGCGAAAGCCUGACGCAGCGACGCCGCGUGAGGGAUGAAGGUUUUCGGAUCGUAAACCUCUGUCAGAAGGGAAGAAACCGCACUGUGCUAAUCAGCAGUGCCUUGACGGUACCUUCAAAGGAAGCACCGGCUAACUCCGUGCCAGCAGCCGCGGUAAUACGGAGGGUACAAGCGUUAAUCGGAAUUACUGGGCGUAAAGCGCACGUAGGCUGCUUUGUAAGUCAGGGGUGAAAUCCCACGGCUCAACCGUGGAACUGCCUUUGAUACUGCUUAGCUUGAAUCCGGGAGAGGGUGGCGGAAUUCCAGGUGUAGGAGUGAAAUCCGUAGAUAUCUGGAGGAACAUCAGUGGCGAAGGCGGCCACCUGGACCGGUAUUGACGCUGAGGUGCGAAAGCGUGGGGAGCAAACAGG